UACAGCCACAUCAUGUAGAAACACUGGUUCCUGUAUUAUCACCAAAGUUAAGCAACAUUAAGUGAGUUUGGUACCUAGAUGGGUGACCGCUUGGGAAUACCAGGUGCUGUGA